GUGCCAGCAGCCGCGCGGUAAUACGUAGGGGGCGAGCGUUGUCCGAAUUUACUGGGCGUAAAGCGCGCGUAGGCGGACCUUUAAGUUGGUGGUGAAAUGCCGAGGCUCAACCUCGGAACUGCCUUCAAAACUGGAGGUCUGGAGGUAUGGAGAGGGAAGUGGAAUUCCUGGUGUAGCGGUGAAAUGCGUAGAUGUCAGGAGGAACACCUGUGGCGAAGGCGGCUUCCUGGCCAUAUCCUGACGCUGAGGUGCGAAAGCUAGGGUAGCGAACGGGAUUAGAUACCCCGGUAGUCCUAGCCGUAAACGAUGGAUACUAGGUGUUAUAGGUAUCGACCCCUGUAGUGCCGAAGCUAACGCAUUAAGUAUCCCGCCUGGGGAGUACGACCGCAAGGUUGAAACUCAAAGGAAUUGACGGGGGCCCGCACAAGCGGUGGAGCAUGUGGUUUAAUACGUCACUAACCGUAGAACCUUACCCAGGCUUGACAUCCGCUGAAAGCGCCUGAAAGGGUGGCCCUGAUAUGGAAACAUAUCACAGUGAGACAGGUGUUGCAUGGCUGUCGUCAGCUCGUGUCGUGAGAUGUUGGGUUAAGUCCCGCAACGAGCGCAACCCUCAUCCGAUGUUGCCAGCGUUAAGUCGGGAACUCUUCGGAAACUGCCCGUGCAAGCGGGAGGAAGGUGGGGAUGACGUCAAGUCAGCAUGGCCCUUACGUCUGGGGCUACACACAUGCUACAAUGGGCGUAAACAAAGGGCAGCGAAACCGCGAGGUGGAGCUAAUCUCAAAAACACGUCCUCAGUUCGGAUUGCAGUCUGCAACUCGACUGCAUGAAGUCGGAAUCGCUAGUAACCGCAGGUCAGCUAAACUGCGGUGAAUACGUUCCCGGGCCUUGUACACACCGCCCGUCACGCCACCUGAGUUGUCUGCACCCGAAGCUCGUGGCCUAACCCUGAGCUUGUCGAAGGGAAGGAGCGAUCGAAGGUGUGGGGAGCGAGGGGGACGAGUCGUACAGGUA
rnacentral:rRNA from 1 species